AUUGAACGCUAGCGGGAUGCCUUACACAUGCAAGUCGAACGGAGUGGCGAACGGGUGAGGAAUGUAAAGGAACGGGCCCAGUAGCGGGGGAUAAAUACGCGAAAGAGGAGCUAAUGACGCAUACGAGUGGAGCAGCCGAUGUCGUAUUAGCAAGUUGGUGGGGUAACGGCUCACCAAGGCGACGAUCCGUAGCUGGUAUGAGAGGACGACCAGCCACACUGGAACUGAUACACGGCCCAUACUCCUACGGGAGGCAGCAGUGGGGAAUUUUGGACAAUGGGGGAAACCCUGAUCCAGCCACCCCGCGUGAGCGAUGAAGGCCUUCGGGUUGUAAAGCACUUUUGUCAGGAAAGCGGUACCUGCAGAAUAAGCACCGGCUAACUACGUGCCAGCAGCCGCGGUAAUAC
rnacentral:rRNA from 1 species